GAUGAACGCUGGCGGCGUGCCUAAUACAUGCAAGUCGAGCGAACAGAUGAGGAGCUUGCUCCUCUGACGUUAGCGGCGGACGGGUGAGUAACACGUGGAUAACCUACCUAUAAGACUGGGAUAACUUCGGGAAACCGGAGCUAAUACCGGAUAAUAUAUUGAACCGCAUGGUUCAAUAGUGAAAGACGGUUUUGCUGUCACUUAUAGAUGGAUCCGCGCCGCAUUAGCUAGUUGGUAAGGUAACGGCUUACCAAGGCGACGAUGCGUAGCCGACCUGAGAGGGUGAUCGGCCACACUGGAACUGAGACACGGUCCAGACUCCUACGGGAGGCAGCAGUAGGGAAUCUUCCGCAAUGGGCGAAAGCCUGACGGAGCAACGCCGCGUGAGUGAUGAAGGUCUUCGGAUCGUAAAACUCUGUUAUUAGGGAAGAACAAAUGUGUAAGUAACUAUGCACGUCUUGACGGUACCUAAUCAGAAAGCCGCGGCUAACUACGUG
rnacentral:rRNA from 1 species